AUGACAUGGAGCACGGCUUUGACCAUAUCAAAGGUCCUCCUAUCAAUCUGUUCGUUGCUGACGGACCCCAACCCCAGUGAUCCUCUAGUGCCUGAGAUUGCUCACAUAUACAAGACUGAUUGGGCCAAGUAUGAGUCCAUGGCACGCUCCUGGACACAGAAGUACGCCAUGGCUGGAUUUAUAGGCAAGCAAUGUCGAGAGAGUUCUUCUCACCUAUAG
rnacentral:rRNA from 1 species